rnacentral:lncRNA from 10 species
CUGAGACACCUGGUUAGACCGGAAUAAGCAGGAAAGAAGAAAGAAUCCACUGAGUUGACAUUCCAGUUCAGCUGCAAUCGGUAGCAGUCACCAUUGAACAUCCUUGAAGCAAUUCUUCCAAAAUUACCUUGCAUCAAAGACUGCACAAGAACUGCUCUAAGCGGAAGGACUGAUGUCGGCAACCAGGGUUCCACCAGGGGCUGCAGACAGCCCUUGACCUUCAGGUGGGAAGGUGUCACUGAGUUCAGACCCUCUGGCAAUCCCUAGCUAUCAACAUUUUGAUAAGAAAAUAAGUGGAAAGGCGGCCGCCCGGAGGACACUGAUGCUUCUGGAGCUCGCGAAGGGUCCCCCGCGGGAGAGGAACAAGGCCGCUUGCGCUCCGCAGAGGCGCAGGCACGGGGCUGGGGCCCGGGGCGGGGGCGCGGGUGGGCGGACCCCUCCCGCAAGCCCAUGAUGGCCAGGCCAAGGCCGCUGGGAAAGGCAGGACGCUCGCCCAUGCGCUGCCAGCUGGGCUUUUCUCCUUCGCCCGCCCUGUGUUCCAGGGCGCGACCCCGUUCGGUCCAGCCGCUGGCUCCGGGGCUGAACCCCAGGUAGGGGAUUGUAAUUGAGUGAGAUUGGAGUCGGGUCACAUGGAUGCUGCAAGGUCUUCAGUUGGAUCCACCUGUUACUGGAGGGUGCAGGCAGGCAGGCAGGGUUACUGCUGGAUCCCCAGGUGCAUGGGACUGACUCUGGGACCAUGAUCAAGCCCUGGGACAAAGCUGAAAUGAAGAACAGGCAGGCAUGGCCAUAGCCCACACUGAGCUCACAGGUGAGUGGGGUGACAGACAAGACUGGAAGAUUUUGCUGAAAGAUUGGACAUGGCAUUCAGAGAAACAGAGGUUUUAAUGACAAACUCCAAGUUUUUGGCUGGAGCAACUGGAAGAAUGAGGUUGCCAUGAACCGAAAAGAGAGAUUGCAGGAGUAACCAAAUUUACUCACGUAGGCCAGGAAUUUCUAUGACGUGUUCCAAAUUCAGCCUCUCACUGAACACUUCCAGAGCAAGGCAACAUAAACAGCUGCAAGAAGAACAUUGUGUGAGAAAUAUCAAGUGAGAGUGGAAGAGUCUGCGGAAUGUAAAAUGAACCUGCUUCCCCUUCAUCUUCCACCAUGAUUAUAAGUUUCCUGAGGAAUCUCCAGCCAUGCUUCCUGUACA